rnacentral:rRNA from 1 species
UACAGAGGGGGCAAGCGUUAUUCGGCAUUAUUGGGCGUAAAGGGCGCGUAGGCGGCCUUCUAAGUCGAACGUGAAAUCCCUGGGCUCAACCCAGGAACUGCGUCCGAUACUGGCAGGCUUGAAUUCGGGAGAGGGAUGUGGAAUUCCAGGUGUAGCGGUGAAAUGCGUAGAUAUCUGGAGGAACACCGGUGGCGAAGGCGGCAUCCUGGACCGAUAUUGACGCUGAUGCGCGAAAGCCAGGGGAGCAAACGGG